UUUCACAACCUUCCAAAUGAGAAAUUGCCGUAUAGUGAGACAUGUAAAGCAAUGAGUUGAUGUACAUAGGAUUCACUAGUCUGACUAUGCACUCUAAUUUCCACAUGGAAAAUGUACCCUUUAUAGAUGGUGGCAUAGUUUAUUGAGAACUUUGAUACAGCAUCAGCUAGGAGAGACCACACAUUAAUGAGAUUUGGGUGCUGUCUUGUAAGAUGUAUAUGUAUGAGGGUUUUUUUUUUUUUCUUUCCUAGCUACAUGUGGUCUUGAGAACCAAGUAAUGUGAGGAUGUGCCUGUUAUUAUUUUUUUUAAUAAAUCAAUUGGAAAAACGUGCCUUCUUUCCCUAUGACUAGCAGCUGCUGGUUUAGAAAGGAAGGCUUUUACCUACAAAUUGCUUUCCUUGAAUUGUAAGCUGAGACUGCCACUGGGCUGUUUUGGGUUUCUGUGGCCUUUGGGUGAAGAGGUCAAAGUGGGUUUCAGUGUUGGCUUUCACAAUUGAUGGUGUCAAGGAGAUAGGGCUGCCAGUAGACUGUGGAGAAGAAGUGAGUGUGGUACUGGAGUGUUCCCUGUGAUGGUCAGAGCCCUCAGAGAUAGACUAUCUCACCAGGUAAGGAACCCAGAUCAGCUGACAUCAUAAUAAUUUGGAAUGAGGACCAGCAGAAAGGAGUCAUAAGUAACAACCAUUGCCAAGGGACUAGUGCUUUCAGAUGGUCUGGCCUGUUGGAGGUGAAGCUGAGAGAAGCCAGCAGAGGGCAGCAAAGUGCCAGUGGCAACCAAUACACACAAGAAGCCUGAACAUGAUUUGUUUAUUAAGGAAUAUGAUGAACAUUAAAUGCUUGAAAAUUAGGUUGAAAAUUGUUAGUUGAAAAAAUAUUUUGAAAUAUUGAUACCACUAGUUAAAAAUUUGUUGAAAUGCUUGACAAUUAUUUGUCUGCUAAAAUAAAACUAAACAUGAUUUAUUGAUUAAAUGACA
rnacentral:lncRNA from 12 species